UCUUUUUUUUUUUUUUCAUUUUUUUGGUCUAAUGUGCAGAUUAGAGUGUCAUCAAAUAAAUUGCACAUUAGACCAAAAAAAUGGUUACAUAAUUUAGUAAGUAUAUAAGAAAUCAUCAAUUUAGUAAGAAUAGCAUCUUAUUUUUGAAGCGAACAUAAUUUAUUCCAUCAAAACGAUCCAGUUUCACGAACUCUUUAUUCAUUGGAGAAAUUGUCUUGGACUCUAUUGCUAUUAAUACCUUAAAAUUAUUAUGAUAGUGGGUGUAGAAUAGGUUUUUAGACAUGAUAAUCACUAUUUUUUAAGGUAUUAAUUGCCUUAGCUAGAUUACUACAAGGUUAUAGCAAUAUACCUCUAGUAUACCACUAAGCCAAAAAUCUACAAACAAUAACUUCUGAAAAUUUCCCUUAAGAACUUUUUAUGAACUAGAUUUAGAGAAACAAGUCCCUUAAGAACUUUUUAUGAACUAGAUUUAGAGAAACAAG
rnacentral:misc_RNA from 1 species